rnacentral:rRNA from 1 species
GACAGAGGUUGCAAGCGUUGUUCGGAAUCACUGGGCGUAAAGGGCGUGUAGGCGGCGGAGUAUGUCUGACGUGAAAUCCCUCGGCUUAACUGGGGAAUUGCAUCGGAAACUGCUUCGCUUGAGUGUGAGAGAGGAUGGCGGAAUUCCCAGAGUAGAGGUGAAAUUCGUAGAUACUGGGAGGAACACCUGAGGCGAAGGCGGCCAUCUGGUUCACAACUGACGCUGAGACGCGAAAGCAUGGGGAGCAAACAGG